UACAGAGGUCCCGAGCGUUGUUCGGAUUCAUUGGGCGUAAAGGGUGCGUAGGCGGCGGGGCAAGUCUGAUGUGAAAUCCCGGGGCUCAACCCCGGAACUGCAUUGGAUACUGCCUUGCUCGAGUACUGGAGAGGGAACUGGAAUUUACGGUGUAGCAGUGAAAUGCGUAGAGAUCGUAAGGAAGGCCAGUGGCGAAGGCGAGUUCCUGGACAGUUACUGACACUGAGGCACGAAGGCCAGGGGAGCAAACGGG
rnacentral:rRNA from 1 species